GAAUAAUAUAUCUCAGUUUUCUGGUUUUGUGUGGCAUGAAAAUGAGGUCCAGAUGAUCAAAGUUAAAGAGAAAUUGGACAAGUGUAACAAAGAGAAGUUGUCAGAAUUUUGUGAUGUCCUUGACAUUCCAAUUGCCAAGGCUACUACAAGGAAGCCAGAUAGUUUCAGUGAUGUGGUGUCACCUGCACUCUUUGCUGUCCGGGUUUAAUCUCAGUUUGAAUAUUUUCUACUGAAACCAAAGUUGCUAUGAGUAUACAUUUGCAGCAUGUGUUUAAGAGCUAGCUUUGAUGCUCUUCAAGCUUUACAUGUCGAGUGAUAUUGUUUUAAUGAGCUGAAAGUGCACAUCCAGGAAGACAUUGUUGCAAACCUGAUAUACUUUUUGGUGGCCCCUCAUGCUACAAAUACUGUGCUCCUUGCAGAAAAAGAGAAGUCAUGUAAAUCCAGCAAAAAACGGAAGAGGGUGGUCAGAGGAAGUUCAUCAUCUCGAAGUGCAGCUUCAAAACGUUCAGCAAAGGAUUUCAAACUCCUUAUAUUGAUAUACAACAAUUUUAUGAAGGUCUAAAUAUGGAAGUGGAGCAGCAAAUUCCAUUACUCUUGGUUGAGAGACAAGCACUAAAUGAAGCAAGAGAAGGAGAAAAGAAUAGAAAACAUGGUGUUCAGGAAGCAGCUUGGAGGAAAGCUUGAGAGUUCUUUACAAAGUGAUUUGGGUGUGAACACUGUUGGAGAGCUAUUACAGUUUUCAGAGGAGAAGCUACAAGAGAAUUCAAGGGGGAAUGUAAAGAAGUUAUGACAGUGUUAUUACAAUGUUAAGACAACGUUAUAUUUUACUUAUUCACAAAAUGUAUGUGAAUUUAUUGACUCACAAUUUGUUCCUUGAAAGCGUAGUACAAUGUAUUUGGUUUGCAUUAUUA